UUGCAGUUAAAAAGCUCGUAGUUGGAUUUCGGUUAAGAGCGUCCGGUCCGCCGUUUGGUGUGCACUGGUUGGUUUUAACUUCCUGUAGAGGACGUGCUCUGGGCUUAACGGUCUGGACUCGGAGUCUACGUGGUUACUUUGAAAAAAUUAGAGUGUUCAAAGCGGGCUUACGCUUGAAUAUUUCAGCAUGGAAUAACACUAUAGGACUCCUGUCCUAUUUCGUUGGUCUCGGGACGGGAGUAAUGAUUAAGAGGGACAAUUGGGGGCAUCCGUAUUUCGUUGUCAGAGGUGAAAUUCUUGGAUUUACGAAAGACGAACAACUGCGAAAGCACUUGCCAAGAGUGUUUUCAUUAAUCAAGAACGGAAGUUAGAGGUUCGAAGGCGAUCAGAUACCGCCCUAGUUCUAACCAUAAACGAUGCCAGCUAGCGAUCUGCCGAGUUUUUUUUGUUGGCUCCGCAGGAAGCUUUCGGGAAACCAAAGCUUUUGGGUUCCGGGGGAAGUAUGGUUGCAAAGCUGAAACUUAAGGGAAUUGACGGAAGGGCACCACCAGGAGUGGAGCCUGUGGCUCAAUUUGACUCAACACGGGAAAACUUACCAGGUCCAGACAUAGUAAGGAUUGACAAGUUGAGAGCCC
rnacentral:rRNA from 1 species